AAAUGACUCUCGGCAACGGAUAUCUCGGCUCUCGCAUCGAUGAAGAACGUAGCGAAAUGCGAUACUUGGUGUGAAUUGCAGAAUCCCGUGAACCAUCGAGUCUUUGAACGCAAGUUGCGCCUGAAGUCGUUAGGCUGAGGGCACGUCUGCCUGGGCGUCACAUUUUGUGUUGC
rnacentral:rRNA from 1 species